GACAGAGGGGGCAAGCGUUGUUCGGAUUUACUGGGCGUAAAGAGCGCGCAGGCGGUCGAGUAAGUCGAAUGUGAAAGCCCCCGGCUUAACUGGGGAGGGUCAUUCGAUACUGUUCGACUUGAAGGCAGGAGAGGGCAGCAGAAUUCCCGGUGUAGUGGUGAAAUGCGUAGAUAUCGGGAGGAAUACCAGUGGCGAAGGCGGCUGCCUGGCCUGUUCUUGACGCUGAGGCGCGAAAGCUGGGGGAGCAAACGGG
rnacentral:rRNA from 1 species